CCUUCAGUGUGUCAGAAUAGGUUCCUCUAGAAAACUCUUUUGGGCCUCUAGAUAUGGAGGUUACUCUGUCUACACAAGACAGACAGAGGAACAGU